rnacentral:rRNA from 1 species
AGCGAACGCUGGCGGCAGGCUUAACACAUGCAAGUCGAACGGGCACUUCGGUGCUAGUGGCAGACGGGUAAGUAACGCGUGGGAACGUGCCUUUCGGUUCGGAAUAAUCCAGGGAAACUUGGACUAAUACCGGAUACGCCCUUCGGGGGAAGGAUUUAUCGCCGAAAGAUCGGCCCGCGUCUGAUUAGCUAGUUGGUGAGGUAAAGGCUCACCAAGGCGACGAUCAGUAGCUAGUCUGAGAGGAUGAUCAGCCACAUUGGGACUGAGACACGGCCCAAACUCCCACGGGAGGCAGCAGUGGGGAAUAUUGGACAAUGGGCGCAAGCCUGAUCCAGCCAUGCCGCGUGAGUGAUGAAGGCCUUAGGGUUAUAAAGCUCUUUUGUCCGGGAAGAUAAUGACUGUACCGGAAGAAUAAGCCCCGGCUAACUUCGUGCCAGCCGCCGCCGUAAUAC